ACCAGCAGGAACAAACGUAAAAUUUUCUAAGUCCUCCAGGAAGCCCUGCAAGGUUCGUGUAGGCAUGUGUUACCCUCUGCUGGCCUGGGCACAUUGAAAAUGGGAUCUACCAACAGCCCCUCUGAGAUAUGAAAACCAAGAUGUCAGACCUCAAAGGAGCUGAUCAGAGCAGAAGGUAGAAGGGCACCCAGAUGGCAAGGGCUGAGACUGUGCUGGACAUAUAAGCUCCAGAAGCAGGGACAAACCUGUGAGUAGGUGAGUUCCAGAUGAGGAUUCCAUUGAUCUUAGUGAGGCCCUGCUCACUUUACAACAGCUCUUCAGGGACCAGGAAUCUCUUUUUCCAUCUGAAGAGACCCAGGGAAGUAUUCCUUGACCUGCUAGAGAAACCACAAAGAUUUACCUAGGAACAAGGAGGUGUGUUGAAACUCCUGCAGAGAGGACCAUGAGAAGGGUGCACAGAUCUCACACCCAGGCCUGAAAGAUGGGGAACUGCCUCAAAUCCAGCAUCUUGGAUGACAGCUCUGUUCCUGAGUCUCCAUCCCGCUGGGUGGGCCCAGGCGGGAGGAGACGCUGGGAUCAGGAACCACAUCCGGAACAAGUUCCAAAUCCCAUCCAUCUUCCAACACCCAGCUCGCUUCACCAAGCAGCACAGCUGAUGGAAGAGGAACAAGUGAGGUUAGCUCAAAGAAUCAGCCUUAAAGAGCACCUGCCUCAAGGAGUGUACAGAAUAGAUGGAUUUGAAGAAAAGAUCCAGGAGGAGUGUGUGAUUUGUUGGUUGGAGUUUGUGUGUGGGGACUCCAUCAGAUUUCUGCCCUGCGCGCACUUCUAUCACCUGAACUGCAUAAAUGAGUGGUUGACCAGGUCCUUCACCUGCCCCUACUGUCGCAGGCCCAUGGAUGUCACACAGCCUUCAUCCCAGGACCUUAAUUGAGCCAGGAUCCCUUGUUUGAUUUCAAGUGUCCCAUCAUUUUUAGUGAUUUUGAUAUUUUGUCAUCGUGUCUAAGUAGCCAAGGAUUAGGAAUUAAAAUCAUGCACAAAGAUUUCCUAAAAAUUCCUGUCAUGUUGCAGAUGAUGGCAAACAAUUUAUAAUGUUUUAGAAACUUAGGGAGAUAAUAGCAUGUAAAGCCUUGACCAAGUGUUCAGAAGUGUAAUUAUAUCUUAGCAUUUUUCCAGUACAUGGGAUGUAUACCAUGUUGCAGCAGCUAUACAUGUUGUAUUGUGUCUGUUGAAGAUUAGGGAAAAGAAAGUGGUUACUUUUCCUAAGUGAUAUAACUUUCUUCUCCCCAAUCCAAACUGGCAUUUGGACCAAGGUUUUAUGAAAAACUACAAUUUAUACAACUGAACUAAAAUGAAAUCCAAUUAUAUAUGAGUGAAUAAAUGAAGAAUCUUAUUUUCAAAUAACCCUCCUAAAUGGUCUUAUCUUUUUUUUCUCCAUCAUUUUGAGACAUUUAACUUUUUGUCUUGUAAGUCCAAUCAAGGGGAACAGCGUCCCAGGGAAGAACAGUCCUGAGUAGGUUUAUUAGCUGUGUAAUUACGGUGCGUUCAUGUAAUUUAG